AUUUGUUCAUCUUCUACAAUGAACCUUCAAGUGAACAGAAAUAGAAAUGAAUGCUACUGUAGAACCACCUGGUGUAAUGUUUUGGAAAUUGAUUUGCCUAUAUCCUUAACCUUUCUCAUGAGCUUUAUUCCAGGAGGCAGCUGCUAACAAGAGGGAAUAUAUUGUAAUUACUUUGUGGUCUCCACCCACUUCCCAAAUUAGAUCCUACUCCCUCUCCCUAAAGUAAAGGUAAAAGUCCCAUUCAUAUCAGUCCAGCCAGAAUCAGUUCCCUAAGGUACAGGUUUCAUUUCAACGUGUAGAUAGUAAUAUGGAUACACUUCCUUGUCUCAUCUGUCUGCAGUACGAAGUUUUAAGUUUAAAGAAGGCCACCAAGAACACAGACGAAGCACAGUUUAGCCAUGAGCUUAAUUUGAAAAAGCCAAGCGCCAAUGCUGUCUGCUUGAUAUCAGUAAAGGUAUUUGCUUGCUGUUCAGCAUCCUUAUUAACAGCCCGUCAGACACGUGGAAGAGGGAUGUUGUGACAGUAAACAGCAAUGCUGUGAGCAGGAGGUGAACUGGAAAAUGAGAGCAACAAGUCAAAUGUACUGUUGCUGAACAUUGUAAUCUCCACUAAUUCCACUUGAUUAUUUUGACAUAAUUUGCAGCACAAAUUAUGCUAGAUAAAUUAGGGGGCUUACUCCCACAUGCGUUUCAAUGUUCCUAGAGACCUUCCUCCACCUCCUCCUCGAUUCCUUCCACAGCAGGGUGCACUUGUGAUUAAAUGUAUUUUGCACAAUAUGCUGACUGUUGUUACUUAUGAUAGUAACUGGUGGUUAGCGUUGAGGCAAUUUUUAGCGUUAAACACAACUCUCUCUUUGUUUCUGAUGAACAGUGAACAAACAAAUUGAGGGAAGAUAAACCCUCUGGUUUAGGAAUUAGUUUAACUGAGCUCUUCUCUUUCUUUCGCCCCUUUUCACCAUUCAAAAAACCAACCCCAGAUACCUGUGCGGUUUUAAACAGUUAUUUUUCUAGGAGCUUUGUAGUGUUCUAGGCAUCGGAUA
rnacentral:lncRNA from 1 species